CGAACAACCAAUUCACUUGAUUUCUCGGUAUUGUAACAGUGUACCUACAUUCAAUCAAUUUCGACUAAAUAUUUGAUAUGUGAUGGUAAAGUUUUUCGCGGCCGUGCUGAAAGCUUCCCUGAAAAUCAAGUUUAUUUGAUCAGUUACACUGAUGCUACGUGAGAGAAGGUUUGCGACUGGCCACGGGAGCUUUCCUCUCAACCAAGACGGGUGAGCGAGUUCCAGAGCGAAGCCAAGAGGGUAAACAUGUAGUCAGAUUAUAGAACAAUUGUAGUCA